GAAUCAGUGGUGUAGUGGUAGCACGCGCCUCUGAUAUGGGUAGGACGUGGGUUUGACUCCCGCCUGAGGUCG